CAAACGUGCCGUACUGUGAUUGGGUCCCGCCAGAAUGCGAGCACAGGGAGCCACGGGAUAGGCUGAGGACAUAGGGUCAAUUACCAUACUCGCGCAUGCGCGGACCUUAGGACACGUAGUCCUAGGAGCAUAGCCAAAUAUGGAGUUGUUUACAGCUGGGCUACCAGGAAGCCAGCGCCAUCUUAGAAUGGCGGCUCCCUACACCCUAGUCUACAGCUCUGUCUUCCAAGCCCAUGUGCUCACCAUCGGCAUGAGCAGAGGCAGCCGAAGACAGUGAAGUUUGCUUCCCAUCUGAGUUUUGCCCCCUCCAUAUGAUGCUUACAUCCAUUCCUGAACUGGAAUUGUGAGUGUGACCUUGUUUAGAAAUAGAAUCUUUGCAGAUGUGACCGAGGCUCUCAAUAUGAGAUUAUCCUGGACCCUAAACCUAACGACUGCUGUCCUUAUUAAGAGAAAGGAGAGAGGGAUUUAAUACAAAGGGCAGGGUCAUGGAAGAUGAGACAGACAUUGGAGUGAUGUGUUCGUAAGCCAUGGCAAUGGCAGGUGGAAGCUGGGAGGGACAGGCAGGAGGCAAGUCCCUAAGAUCCCCAGAAGAAGGUCACUGUGCCGCCUCCUUCGGCUUAGACUGCUGCUUUCGGUAUCUGUUAGGGAUGCAUACUUUCUGCUUUUUAAAGUCACAGUCUUUGUAAGAAUUUGUUGUGGUGUUUUUAAGGAACAAACACACCAUCCAAGUUGAGAAGGGAGCGUCCAUCUGCGGGGUCAUCUCAGCUGUACACUGCCGACCUCUCCCCACAGAUUGUGUUCUCCCUGGGUAGGCAAGGCUCUCCCCAGCAGGCAAGGCUCUCCCUGGGCAGGGAAGACAAGGCCUCCUGUGGAAGCUUCUGGCCCACAGUUGCUGAGUGAUACCCGCAUGUGAUAAAGCUGUCCUCUUUCUCAGAGGCCACAUCAAAUUCCAGUUGACUUCUGAUCACACUAACAUGCUUUCUCAUGCGUUCUCAGGGGAAGGCCCAAGGUAGGUUCAUUUCCUAACUUUAUAAUCGACAUAGUUUUUUCUUUCAGUAGUCCAUGAAGCAAGCCUCGGCUAGUGACAAUCUGCCUACCUGUAGCCUGUUGCUCAGAGAAGUGAUUCUCAACCCUUAGGACCCAUCAGAGCUGUGUAGAAGGCUGGUUAAAACAAACAAACAAACAACAACAACAUCAACAAAAAACUCCCUUCCCUUCAGCGCCUUCCAGAUUUCAGGUGCAGUAGGUCUGGAGAGAGAGAAUCCUCCUUUCCAGCAGGUCUGCAGGUGACGUCAUUGGCACGGCCUUCCACCCCCUGCCCCCAGAUGUUUGGGAACAGCAACAGCUGUGUUUCUCAAGCUCUGCUGCUUCCCGGAAUCACUGGGGGCUUCUAAAAACCCCAGCCAAAGCUGCACUCCGCUCUGCUGAAUAAGAGUCUCUGAGAGGUGCGGGCAUCAGGGGCUUUUAAGGCCCCUCAGGUAAUUCCUGUAGGAAGUCAGACAAAAAGCUUAGAGGUCUGCUUCCCCUGCACCCCCCCCUUCCCAGCAUUAAUGCCCUGGCCAGGCUUGGGGUCCACCUCUCCUAACAGGUCUGUGGGUCCACUUUAGGGCCCAGCAUAUGAAAUAGAAAUGGAGUCCUCCGGCAGGGAGAGCGCCUCACUCCUGUCCCCAACGAUCUAAAGGCUCUGCCUGGGGGUCCAGAGUGUGAUGUUUAGAGAUGGCGGCCAAAGGCCGGAAUACAAACCUCUGGGCUAGUGCUUUGCGGAAGUCUCCCAUUGCCUGUGGCUUCGCUUUCCACCAGCUCAGCAAUGGUGACGGAUCUUGAUCCGUAAAUACUAAAUGGAAACUUCCAGAACUUAACAAAUUCAUGAGUUUAAACACAGCCCUGUUUGACAUGCCGUCGCAAAAAACAUGGUACUGGCCUCAAUGAGAAUAAGAGAUAGUUCAUUCUGGAGCCAAGUAUGAGUGACCGUGGCCUGGAAACACAAAUCAGAUCGCCUCGAGUUCUCAAAUGUUUCACCUCGGAAGCGGUUACCUGAGACUUGAUGAGCCGCGUAACAAAGAAAGUCGUAAAUCAAAGUGUUAUGGGUAGGCGGGGACUGAAAAGCAGAGACAACUGCUACAGCUUUCAGAUAAUAUCUGAAGGCACUUUUUAGCUUUUGGAUUGGUGGGAGCUGGUGCCCUGCUAAGAACACAUCCUAGAUUUUCACAGGCACAAGGGUGUUAGGCCACACACAGGUGUGAGCAGUGAGUGGCUUUCAAAGGGUCUGAAAAUAGCCUAAGAAAUUUUGACUCUGCUUCACAACAGUAUAACUCUCCAUAAUCUUAAAGCUCCAUCAUUUGGCGGUGUGGAAUAUUCAACACGGGUGCAGCUCCCUAGCAGUCUCUCUGUCUCUCUGUCUGUCUCUCUCCCCCAGCUUCAGUUCACAGAGAUAAAACAACUCUUUCCCAAUGGGUCUAUGCUGUAUACACUGCCUUUCUGUUAGUAUCACCUUGGCCAUUAGAUCCACGUCUUUGUAUUCAGAUACUUGUGUUGUGGUCAGGUCCCCCCAGGUGACUCUGAGGGAAAAGGUGAAGGCGAUCGUCACCAGGAAAGAGAAACACGUGCCAAGCCUGCUAAGACGUGCAGCAAGAUCAAGCUUGUGGGACUGUGUGAAAGCCACACUAGUUUUGCUUUUACACCGCAAACUGCAUAGACCCGGGCUUCAGUGUGUGUGGGGGGUGGUAGCGGGGCGGACGGGAAUGCUCACUGAAGACCGAGGUGCUGGCUUCCCAGUGGAGGGUCUUGAAACGUGUCACUGGACGCUGGAGAGAUUGCUCAGCAGCUGAGCGCACUUGUUGAUCUUGCAAAGGACCCUGGUUCGAUUCCCAGCACCUACAUGGUGACUCACGACUAUCCCUAGCUCCAGUGCCAGGGGGUCUGACACCCUCUUCUGAACUCUGAGGACACUAGGCACGCAAAUGGCAUACAUUCAUACAGACAGACAAGACAUUCAUACGCAUAAAAUAUCAAGUAAUUGUAAGUUUUUUUUUUUUAAAAAAGAAGCCUAUUUCCUGCAGGGAGGGGAUGGGACUUUACCUGCCUCGCGGAUUUGAUCCAGCUGCUGACCCUUGACUCUCAUUUCCACCUGUGAAAUGGGGACAACAAAAAUACCCACAUCGCCGCAAAGCUGUGAGAGACCAGACGAGCCAAAUGCGUCUAAAACUCCAUUCUGUGAAUUGUACCUAGGCCUGAUUCCUCCUUCAUCUCCCUGGACCACUCUCCUGCUCUUCAGAACUGGCGGGAGCCAUAGCCAGGACAUAGAGUCUCCUCUCUUGGUGUGAUCUUCCUCGUUCACAGAGUUGAACAAAAGAUGCUUCUAUUCCACCAUCUUAGCCGAGAUCUCUGGUGUCCUUACAACAAGAGGAAAUUCUUACGUUCUGAAGGAAGACAAUAUAAGGACACAGAGUGAAGACGGUCAUCUAGGGCCCCGGGACAGACACCUGGGACACAUCCUUUCCUCACAGGCCUCAAAAGGAAGAAAUCCUGUGACAUUCACACUUCAGCUUUCCACUCUCCAAAACUGUAAGGAACACCUUUUACUGUUUACACCACCCAGACUCCGGAACUGUGUUAUGGCAGCCCUGGUUAUCUUACAGAUACGGAAGCUACAACCUGGUAGGAAAGAACAAUCAUGGACCCAGCAGAGAUCUGUUCACCUCUUUAGUCUUUCCCCCACGAGCUUCUCCAGCCGCCUCACUGCCUGCUGCCUCUGGUGUCUUCUCUUCAGAGAGAGCUUCCUCAGAAAAUGCUGUCACAGUUCAGACGUCUCUAGGGUGGUGGGUUUGCUACGGCUUCCGUCGUAUUCGAAGCCUCCAGGAUCACCACCCCAGAAGGGCCAUCUGUGCACCUCAGAGUCUUUGCUUCAUUGGACACCCAGUGAAGAGUAUCUCUCCUUUUCUGGCCCAGACUCUUGGGGGGGGGUGUUUUCCUUAGACCUGUUUCUCCCAUUUUCAGAGGAGGCCAGUGUGGCAUGACAAAUGCUUUUUUAAUGACCGAGAUCUGCAUUUAAACAUAUUUUCGUUUUUUGCUGGGCCAUUAAGCCUUUAAACCCGUCAAUAUUUUAAUGGUUUUUAUAGUCCACUGAUGUACAGGUUUGUUUGCAUUAUUUCACCGUCCAUGUUCCUUGCAAAUGAGAUGCCCCGGCUAGUGGCCACCAAGGAGUUGUUAACACAUGGCGCUCUUCUGCAUGGGCCCUUGACUCCAUCACAAGCUAGUCUGCCUAAAACCAGAGGAAGGAAGCCUAUUUACCGACACGACAAACAAAUGACAAACAAUUUAACAGUGGCUGCUUUUAUGCCACAUUUAUCUUAAAAUUCUGUCUGCUUUUGGGAGUCCAUGAGAGCGGAAUGUCUUUGGGAAACCAUUUGGGGCCAAUGUGGCUUGUCUUAGUAUACACAACUUGCUGCAACAGGCUAGCACAGACUGGGUAUCUUCCAAACAUAGAGAUGGAUUUUUCACAGUUCUGGGGCCCGGGAAUUUGAGAUCAAGGCGUCAGCAGGCUCAGUGUCUAGUGAGACAGACCUGUUCCUAGGUCAGAUGAGGCAGUUUCUCUCUCUGUCCUCGUGGUAUAGAAUAGACUGGGGCAGAUGAGUCAGGGAGCUUUUUUAAAGGGCACUAAUCCUGUCCUGAGAACCCCACCCUCAUGACCUAACCAUACCCCAGUGGUCUCACCUUACACCAUCACAUUGAAGAGUCAGAAUUUCAGCUUCUAAGAGGAGGGUGUAAACCUUCCACCUCUGACGUUGACAGAUACUCAGAAUAGGCCCAUUUGGGAUAGAGUGGACUCUGUCUUUUGCUUCAGCCCGAAUCCAUCUUCUGCUCUUCAUUGGAGCCAAUCUACAGAGGUACAGUGAGAGCCUGCUGAUGACAUUAGGGGUCAGCUCCAGAAGCUGGACCUGGUCAGAAGUUCAAUUUAAGCUACAUAGGGAUUUGGCGUGCACAUUUUGUUACACCUGUCCCAGAGAUAAUAACACAGGAGACUCCUGACCAAGCCUUAACUGAUAAUGUCACCCACACACGCAGAUCUUGUGUUCUUAUGCUCACCCCCCUGCAGCUAUACGGUCUGGUUACUGGUUCAUGGAUCGGUCACACUAUACUUUAUAUUUGAUGGCUACUCUCUACGUUUCUUUUCAAACUUUUACCAUGUCGCAGUGGCGGCAGCCUCAGACUGCUGGUGUUUGCCCUGUCUGUGGACCGACUCUCUAAGAGGCUCACACCAUGGUGACAUUGCCCAAUGUGCCCGUCUCAGAAUGUGUCCCUGCUGCAAAGUGGCACCUGCGUGUGAACAGUUCACAGCUGUGUUCCUGAGCCUGUGCUUCUCUUCUUCCGCUCUUUGGGACUGUUUCUGAGCCUGUUACACACUGUUGCCAUCACUGUGGCUUUUGUAGUGUUGAGCGAAUCUCCACUUUGCAUUUUAAAAAGCUAUCCAGUUACAGAGUUCCUCACAAAGAAAGCCAACCAGCACAUUGACUGGCUUUGUCUUAAAUGUACGGUUGAAUCAUUAAUGUAAUUAGGUACUUACAAAGUUACCCAAUGCACGCCAUCCUUUAAGACACUUGAUCCAAAGCAUGGAAUGUGUGCUGUUAACACAGAUCAUUUUAUGUGUCCUUAUUAGAACUUUAAAAACGGGUGUAGACGUUUUGUGUGUUCUGGUUCAUAAACUCCUACGUAGCUGGUAAUUCAUGCCGCUGUUCCGAAUACUAUCAUCAGAGUAAUACUUUCUAGCAGAGACUGUGGGCGGAGGCAGAUGCUGCUGAUUUUUCCGGGUUGAUCUUGCAUCUGACACACUUGCUGAACCUUCGCAGUUUGCUCUUGUUUGAAACAUUGUUUUUCCAAGGCGAUGGAUGUUUUGUUUUUACGCUGCUAUCAGAAGUGGACCCCAUCCCCCAACCUCUGUGGUGGUUGGUGGUGGGAACCAGGGCAAGUGUGACUCACUGAGAAGUGGAAAAUCUUCAGGCCGCUCUGUGCUGCUCUGUGGGUUCCUUGUAGCUUUUGGAAACCUUUCCUGUCAGGCCACCAACACAGGGAUGGAGAAAGGGGGGGGGGGCUAAAGUCCUAUGAAUGGAAAGAGGUGGGGAAAUACAGAAAGAAGGAAGCCAGAGGGAAGAGAACAGAAUAGAGGCUGAGAGGGACUUGGGCCGAGACAGAGGUCCGCCUUGGACUUGAGAGGCAGCUGAGAAAAUCGAGGUAAAAGAGCCUGAUGUUCCAGAGGGUGGACCAGAUGACCUCUGGUUCAGCAAGACCAUCCAAAGAAAUCCCUGGGAUCAUUGCCCCCCUAAUGUAAGCCAUGGAGGAGCCCUGGCGCUACAGACAGUCUUGGGUUAUGACAAUCACUCCAACUCAGCACACACUCUCCAGCUAAGAGAGGCCCAGCUCCAUCAGAAGCCACCACGCUGUUGGGGCUAUGACCCCCAAAGCUUCUCAAGCCGAGGUAUGUCUCCAGAUCCAAACUCUCUGCACCUCGGAGCUUCGGAAGUCAGCGUCAAACCCAGGAGGCGUCCAGUAUUGGCUCCCAGGAGAAGCUGCUUGAGAACCUUAUACCAGCUUAUUGAUCACCUUGCUUUAUGAGAAACUACAGCUAAGUGAUCCUGCUUUGGUUGGGGAACCUCCAUGUCCCCAUAAAAAAACAACAUAUGGGGCUACCACUGCCCUGUACAGUGUUCUGGGAACCCUGGAGACAGGAGCCUGAUUUUAGUGGCCAGUGGCUGUGAAAUCCGGAAGUGAGCAGGGGCCUUUGUUCUCCCUUGUGGCUCCACCCUGGAUCAAACAGGAGCAGUAAGUGAGGCUGAGCUUUCCUGGAUUGAUUCAGCUCAAUUCCCGGCUUUUGCCUCUUAAUUGUUUUCAACUAUUUCUGCACACCAGGUUUGGAGCUCUGAACCUCUUGGGGAAACCUGACUUUUUUUUUUUUUUUUAAUGGAGACAGGGAUGAGCAGAGAUGCUCGGCAGGUCUGUUCUUGCUGCAGGAAGCAAAAGAUGCCUUCGGACCAUACUCUGUGCCAAGGCCUGAGGGUCUCCCGCGGAGAUGGGCCUCCCAAUGCCUGCCUGUAAGAAACCCUUGAAGAGGCCAGACUUUCUUUUAAAUAUGUAAGAGCAGGGUGUGGCUGGCCAAUGGGAAGGUGAGAGAGCCAUCCAAUCCAGCAGGUCUUCUGAGCUUGUCAAGUGAAGGCUGGACCCAGACACCCCCAAAGCCUGCCGGUGAGACUGAACCUCGUGUGAGCCGGUUUCUGAUUAUGACCUGUCUCCACACGCCCAGUGGCUGCCAAACAAUGGCAGUGACUAAGCUUUAUAAAUAGGACACUGAGAGUAAAAAUCACAGGAAAUUC